GGUGGCUCAGGAGUAGAGUGCUUGCCUUGCAUGCAUGAGGCCCUGGGUUCAAUUCCUCAGCACCA
rfam:Dipodomys ordii contig_38789, whole genome shotgun sequence.